rnacentral:rRNA from 1 species
GACGAACGCUGGCGGCGUGCUUAACACAUGCAAGUCGAACGAAGAGCGAUGGAAGCUUGCUUCUAUCAAUCUUAGUGGCGAACGGGUGAGUAAUGCGUAAUCAACCUGCCCUUCAGAGGGGGACAACAGUUGGAAACGACUGCUAAUACCGCAUACGAUCCAAUCUCGGCAUCGGGACUGGAUGAAAGGUGGCCUCUAUUUAUAAGCUAUCACUGAAGGAGGGGAUUGCGUCUGAUUAGCUAGUUGGAGGGGUAACGGCCCACCAAGGCGAUGAUCAGUAGCCGGUCUGAGAGGAUGAACGGCCACAUUGGGACUGAGACACGGCCCAGACUCCUACGGGAGGCAGCAGUGGGGAAUCUUCCGCAAUGGACGAAAGUCUGACGGAGCAACGCCGCGUGAGUGAUGACGGCCUUCGGGUUGUAAAGCUCUGUUAAUCGGGACGAAUGGUUCUUGUGCGAAUAGUGCGAGGAUUUGACGGUACCGGAAUAGAAAGCCACGGCUAACUACGUG